UACGUAGGGGGCAAGCGUUGUCCGGAUUUAUUGGGCGUAAAGAGCGUGUAGGCGGCCAGGUAGGUCUGCUGUGAAAACUCGAGGCUUAACCUCGAGCUGUCGGCGGAAACCAUCUGGCUAGAGUCCGGAAGAGGAGAAUGGAAUUCCCGGUGUAGCGGUGAAAUGCGCAGAUAUCGGGAGGAACACCUAUGGCGAAGGCAGCUCGCUGGGACGUUACUGACGCUGAGGAGCGAAAGCGUGGGGAGCGAACAGG
rnacentral:rRNA from 1 species